GUGAGGCGAUUUCCAAUCUGAAACUGAAAGAGACGACUGAUUCGAGAGAGAGGGAAGAACAUGGCGAAUCAAGGCGGUUCUUGGAUUUUGAUUUGAGGAAGAGCAUGGGGACGGGAAGAGAACGAACAAUGCGAAUCUCGGUUCUUGGGUUCAUCUGAGAAGAACACAAAUCUGGAGACAGAUAGCGAGAGCGAAGAGAGCAAAGGAAGAAGGGAAAGAAGAAGACAUUCGGGAGAAGACAGAAAAGAGAAGGUUUUGUGGUCUCUUUGACUCUGCAGUUUAUGGCUAGUCAAAAGUUGGAUUCUGCAGGUUUUGGAAGUGUUUGAUUCAUCAGUGCGAAUAUAACUGUUCCCACAUUUUUAUGUGUGUUCAAUUUUGGUGGUGACUUGAUUUGUUGGUUUGUAUUGAAAUACUGUGUAUCUGCAUAUUGGAACAAAGUAGUGGAGAUACUCUGAUUUUGGUCCAAAAGGAGUAGUUGCCCUUAUUCGUCUUUCUGGAACAGCAGGGACGGUGGAUGUCUGUUACAAGAAGAUCAUGGCAUUGUCCAUGAAGUUUUUGUGGAAAUAAUAUGCUAGAAGCCUAGAAGGUGAUCUACUAGAAGAUUCUGCAGGUUUUGGAUGCCAUUUUGCAUCUUGUCAGAGUUGUUUUGGAUGCCAUUUUGCAUCAUGCCAUUCUGCAGGUUAUAUGGCAGAGUUGUUCAUAGUAUUGUUGGAAUAUUGUUGGAAUAGUGGCUAGUCAAAAGUUGCUGAUAUGUAAUGAUUCCAGAAAAUGAAUGUAAUUGUAAUGAUUCCAGAAAAUGAAUGUAAUUGUAAUGAUUCCAGACAAUGAAUGUAAUUGUAGUGAUUCCAGAAAAUGAAUGU